GAUCUGCAGGAAAGAAUAAGAUCAUGUUAACUCACAGAGAAGGCAGAGGAAACCGUGGCGUAACCCAGCAGAGCAGAUUUGAAAAGAUUUACCUGAACGUCGAACUGGCAGCAAGAUCUCGGCCAUUCAUCAAGGCUGAAUGUUGUAUUCAGAGUUGUGCGAUUGGCCUGGAAGACAGUGAAUAGUUACUGUCUUUGAGAACACUCAUCAGGAAAAUUGUAAAUUCAAUCAAUGAUGUUAUUUUACAACAUGCUGUAAAUAAAGUAAACACAUGCAGAUAGACAAAACACAAGCGAAUUAAGAAAAAAUCUAAUUUGACGACACAUGCACAGUAAAUUCUCAAUUUGCGCAUUUGUCGUGUGUAUCUGAGCUCCCAUCUCAAAUUAAAGGGGUAUUCUGGUAUAUGCUCCAAAAAUUUUCUUUAGUAACAUUCUUUAUGCACCACCAUAUAAACGUAGGCUCCAGGCUGACAAACAGCGUAUGAGUAUAUAGGCAGGGAUGAUUCUUAACUGACAUUGUCAAUGAUAAUGAACUGUAGCAAAUGAUCUCCUCAGAACACGUCUGAAUAACCUCUAACACAGUCCACAGUGCUGGAAAGCCAGAUUUCAACUGUGGGCAUCUGUGCAGCUCAAGUCUAAUGAGCAGUUUGUUCCACGAUAAGCAGAAAAACGCUGUGAGGAAUAGUUUCCUGCUCUGAGAAGUAAAACAAAAAGUGGGGUAAAAAAUAGGUUAAGCUAAAAAGCACAGGAUGUUUUAAUGAGCACCUACAUUUUUUCAUGUUCUAGGUCAAAUCGCUGAAAAAGGAAACUGCAUUCAUCUUCUGUAAGAGACGGAGGCGGCCUGCUGCGCAAAAUGUGUCCGGAGCGAAGCCGACAGCCAGCGCAGAUCUGCCCCCGGCUGCAGUGACCUGAGCCAGACUGAUGUUCGCCUGCCACAGACUCCCUACGGCCGCAGACCAGAGGACGACGUGUUAGAAACGGUUUGUGUGAUUCAGUCACUCGCCCUGAACGUGGGGCUGUCACUCACUCACCUCUCUCGAUGCAGAACUGGGUCAUCUGCAUUGUGGAAUCUUGACAAUCUGAGCAAACCAGAAGCAGAGAAUGAUCAAAGUCAAGAAGUCUGACCGUUCUGCAAAUGAAGCGAAGUUAGCGUCCAGUACAAUCUGCAGGUGUCCAGCCUGGUCCAGCCUGGUGUUGACAAACACCUGCAGCUCCUCUGGACUGCUGGGAGUGUAGGCGUGAGGAACCAGCCAGCCAUUGUCCAUACAGUUACCUGCACAAACACACACACACACACACACAAAGACCUUUAUAAAGAAGGGCCCUGUUUACGUGCAGCUCGGAAUGAAGAAGAGCAGCAUUUACUCACUUGUCUCGAUGGAAC